UCCUCAUUAGUCUAACGGCUAUGAUACCUCGUUUUCAUUGCUUCUUCCCGAUGCACCGAGGCGGCCCGGGUUCGACUCCCGGAUGGGGAA
rnacentral:tRNA from 2 species